GAUGAACGCUAGCGGCAGGCUUAAUACAUGCAAGUCGAACGGUAAGUUUGGUAGCAAUAUCAAACCAAGAGUGACGUACGGGUGCGUAACACGUAUGCAACCUACCUUGUACAGGAGUAUAGCUCGGGGAAACUCGAAUUAACCCUCCAUGAGAUCAUAGAAUGGCAUCAUUUAGUGAUUAAAACUCAGGUGGUACAAGAUGGGCAUGCGUCUGAUUAGAGUUGGCGGGGUAAUGGCCCACCAAGACGAUGAUCAGUAGGGGACCUGAGAGGUGACUCCCCCANACUGGCACUGAGAUACGGGCCAGACUCCUAC
rnacentral:rRNA from 1 species